rnacentral:lncRNA from 1 species
CCAAUACUGAAAUAUUCCCUCUUUGCUUCCCAAAUUAUUUAAUGGCAAUAAACAUACUCAUCAGCUGAUUUGUCCUCCAAACACUAUGAGAAAGUUUUUAAAAGACUGCUUUAUUUUCCCCCCUUCAUUCCUGGCAAAUGCACAAAUAUCUAACUGAAGUCACAUUACUUAAAUAGAAACUAAUAGAAGAGCUGGUUGUACAAAUAGUUCAGGAUCUGGUCACAAACAUACACUGAGCUGCUGGUCCUCCUGGGGUGAAAUUCAGCUUGAACAGAGACAAGAAUUUCACCUUUUUAGCUCAAAAGAAGCCCUUGUGAUUAUAUAACAGCUCUCAAGAGGAAGCUGCUAACAAGACCAUCUGACAUUUUUUUGCCAGCUGUUUUAGUGGAGGCGUGUUGGAUUAGACUGAGCUCCACCUUCUUUGACGAGCAAAGCAUUUGGAAAAUGACAGAGCCUGAAGAAAAACGAAAUUCAAAAUCAAGAGUAGUCUACAAGCUCCUUCUCAGCAAGCCUGUCUGUUAGGAGUCAUGACUUCACAUGAUGCAGUGACUCCUGCUAAGUUUCUGUGAGUAUUUUGCAUUCUGCACUUCUCCCUGCAAAGUCACAACAUCCUGAGACACAAAAUAGAAGGUCCUGUCUGUUGUGAGCACUGCACAGAACAGGAAGGCAGCUGUAGUGGAUAGGAGCUGAGCAGUGAUUGCGUUGCAGGUAGCCCCGCUGUGUUUUGGAGACAGCAUUUGUACAUUUGAAGUUUACUUGAGGAUGCAGUCAUAUGCCAGCCUGGUUCUGAGCUGUUCCUUGCUGCAUAAAUAGCCCCUUUCAUUUCAGUAGACUGCUCUGAGUGUAACCCAGCUACCAGAGUAUAGUUGUCUGCCUAUUCAGUCCUUCCUUGUUUUACUUAAUUUUGCUUUUGUAAAUAUGUCAUUGAACCCAACAAAAAUUUUGCUUGGGUGAGGACUGUGUUAAGUCACCAGAAAAUUUCAGAAACCGAGACCAGAUAAGAAUUAAAAUGGUAACAAUGCCCACAGUAAUCACAUUUGAAACCAGGUUUCACAGUAAGUCUCCUGCUUUCC